AUACAGAGGGUGCGAGCGUUAAUCGGAUUUACUGGGCGUAAAGCGCGCGUAGGCGGCUUUUUAAGUCGGAUGUGAAAUCCCCGAGCUUAACUUGGGAAUUGCAUUCGAUACUGGGAAGCUAGAGUAUGGGAGAGGAUGGUAGAAUUCCAGGUGUAGCGGUGAAAUGCGUAGAGAUCUGGAGGAAUACCGAUGGCGAAGGCAGACGUCUGGCCUAAUGCUGACGCUGAGGUGCGAAAGCAUGGGGAGCAAACAGGAUUAGAUGCCCUGGUAGUCCAUGCCGUCAACGAUGUCUACUAGCCGUUGGGGCCUUUGAGGCUUUAGUGGCGCAGCUAACGCGAUAAGUAGACCGCCUGGGGAGUACGGUCGCAAGACUAAAACUCAAAUGAAUUGACGGGG
rnacentral:rRNA from 1 species